rnacentral:rRNA from 1 species
ACACGUAAGGUGCGAGCGUUGUUCGGAAUUAUUGGGCGUAAAGCGCACGUAGGCGGACUGGAAAGUUGGGGGUGAAAUCCCGGGGCUCAACCCCGGAACUGCCUCCAAAACUUCCAAUCUAGAGAUCGAGAGAGGUGAGUGGAAUUCCAAGUGUAGAGGUGAAAUUCGUAGAUAUUUGGAGGAACACCAGUGGCGAAGGCGGCUCACUGGCUCGAUACUGACACUGAGGUGCGAAAGCGUGGGGAGCAAACAGGAUUAGAAACCCCAGUAGUCC